AGUGAACGCUGGCGGUAGGCCUAACACAUGCAAGUCGAACGGCAGCACAGUAAGAGCUUGCUCUUACGGGUGGCGAGUGGCGGACGGGUGAGGAAUACAUCGGAAUCUACUUUUUCGUGGGGGAUAACGUAGGGAAACUUACGCUAAUACCGCAUACGACCUACGGGUGAAAGCAGGGGAUCUUCGGACCUUGCGCGAUUGAAUGAGCCGAUGUCGGAUUAGCUAGUUGGCGGGGUAAAGGCCCACCAAGGCGACGAUCCGUAGCUGGUCUGAGAGGAUGAUCGGCGACACUGGAACUGAGACACGGUCCAGGCGACUAAGGGAGGCAGCAGUGGGGAAUAUUGGGCAGUAGGCGCAAGCCUGAUCCAGCCAGACCGCGUGGGUGAAGAAGGCCUUCGGGUUGUAAAGCCCUUUUGUUGGGAAAGAAAAGCAGCAGGUUAAUACGCCGCUGUUGUGACGGUACCCAAAGAAUAAGCACCGGCUAACUACGUG
rnacentral:rRNA from 1 species